AGAAAAUAGAGAAAAUAGAAGAGAGGAAAUAGAAGAAAAAGAGAGGAAAUAGAAGAAAAAGAGAGGAAGUAGAAGACGGCGGAGGCAGAGUUAAAAAACGGGAGGCGAGCCGGAGCGUGGUGAAGCUGACCGAAAAUCGGCGCAAAUUGGCGGAAUCGGCCCCAAAACGGAGCAGCGGAGACGCCGGGGCGCGGUGAGGGCCCCCCCUCGGUUUCGGGGGGGGGUCGUGGGGGUGGCGAGGGAGGGCGCGGGGCUCUUGUCGUUGCAGGCGCCGUUUUUUUGGCCACAAAGCGCCCCAAAACUCACCGCCGCGGCGUAGAUAUUUGGGUCAAAAUGGGAAAGAAACGGUGAAAAAAAAAAAUCGGAACAAAAAAACAAAAAAAAAAGGAACAAAAAAAAAAAGGAAAAGAACAACAACAAAAAAAAGCAAAAUCAACCCAAAAUCCAGCAUCAUCACGCUCCGGCUGUAAAAUAUUGUAGGUACCGGUGUCGCCGCGCCGCAGAGUGCAGCCACGGCGCCCCAGCCGCAGUAAAGAGGAGCGGGCGCCCCGACCCCGCCGCCUUUUUGGGGGAAAAAAGGCCAAAAAUGGGUCUGCUGGGCGCUGGUUCCCGGCUUCUCCGCACAGCUCAGUGAAAACCGCAGGAAAAUGCCCCAAAAACGAGGACGCCCGACCCGAAAAAGGCAGAGCCCGGCAGCAAAACCUCCCAAAAACGUGUAGGAAAGGGAGAAAAAAAAAUAGGUAUUUCUGGUGGUUUGAACCCAAAAAAAAACGGGGGCGUGGAGCAUCCAGGUGGCGGUGGUGGUUUUUCGCCCAGGGAGGGUGUAAUUUUACCAAUUUAGCCCCAAUUUUGCUUGGUUUUUCCCCUCUGGAUUCACCAAGGAAAAAAAAAAGCAAAAAUAUAAAAAAAGGCCCAAAGUGCCUCAAAAUGAGCAGCUGGCGCCAGGCCCUUCCGGCAGCGGCGCUCGGCCGGAUCCCUUCAGUGGGAUUUUGAGUGGAAAACGUGGCUUUUUGGUAAACUCAGGGCUCGAGCCCUUCG
rnacentral:lncRNA from 1 species